rnacentral:SRP_RNA from 1 species
UUGCGGGCGCUAUGCGAUAGUGAAUCGCCAACCGAGUCAGGUGCGGAAGCAAGCAGCUCUACGCGUAGGAGCUAUGCGCCGUAGUAAUACCUGUGGAUC